AGAGUUUGAUCCUGGCUCAGAUUGAACGCUGGCGGCGUGCCUAACACAUGCAAGUCGAGCGGUAACGCGGGAGCAAUCCUGGCGACGAGCGGCGAACGGGUGAGUAAUGCUUCGGAAUCUGCCUGUUGGUGGGGAAUAACCAGCCGAAAGGUUGGCUAAUACCGCAUAAGUCUCCUUUUCUUGGUUGAGGAGGAGGGAAA
rnacentral:rRNA from 1 species